UACAGGGGGUGCAAACGUUGCUCGGAAUCAUUGGGCGUAAAGCGCACGUAGGCGGUUCGUUAUGUCGGAUGUGAAAGCCCUUGGCUUAACCGAGGAAGUGCAUCCGAAACUGGCGAGCUAGAGUACGAAAGAGGAUCGCGGAAUUCCCGGUGUAGAGGUGAAAUUCGUAGAUAUUCGGAAGAACACCAGUGGCGAAGGCGACUCACUGGACACGUAUUGACGCUGAGGUGCGAAAGCGUGGGGAGCAAACAGG
rnacentral:rRNA from 1 species